UUUAAAAUCUACAGUCAAGGGAAGAUUUGGGGGAGGGACAAUACUAAUUUGGUUCACAGAAUUUUAUUGUUUUCUCUAUCCCAAUAGCUUUUUGUAUCAGAUCUGUGGAACAGGAGGCAGAGUCCUGGAGCUCAGCGUUUCCUUUGAACACAGCUGGACUCUCAGUAGAUGGCAACAAACACAGAGACCUACAACUGGUCAAGCCGCAGAGAAUGAGAGACUGAAGAACGCUUACCCGCAAAUCUUACCUUCGUCCCUUGGCUGUUAUGACAAAAGAAUUUGAAGACCUGCAUACAGGAUCAGCCAGCGUCCUGAAGGCACAAUGUUCUUCGCAUGUACCUUUAUUGGUCUCCUCCCUUACGACUGUGACUUCUCAAGGACUUCCAUAGGAUUACCCAUGCAAGAAGUGAAGAGCCGAGCCUCCUGUUUGCAAACCCUCCCAUGCAAGAUUCAUGCUGAAGUCAACAAUGUCCUUCGAAUCUAAUUUAAACAUGAAGAGGGGAGUCAUGGAGCUGGGAACUACAGUGGAAAGGCUGUCCUGAAAGAAGUGAAGUGUUUCACCUAGAAUAUACUGGCUCACCACCAGAAAACCACAAGACGGGUAGAACCUUUCAAAGUCGGGGCCCUGUGAUCAAAGGAGGCACAGAAAAAUGGUUCUUCUAUAAACCUUUCUGCUGAUGGCUGAAACCUGGAGAUUCUGUGGCUCUCUGACUCCGUUCUCUGAGCAGAUGCUGUGACAUUUUCUUGCCCUACUUGAGAGAGCCCAACUGGUUAGUACAGUGGGUUGCUGGUGUUGGUUUGUUUGUUUGUUUGUUCUAUCUUCCUUGUGUCCAUAGAACUUGUCCUCUGCUUGUUCAUCCUGACAUUUUAGAACUCAUAGACUUCUGGAUAUAUUUCGCUUUGUCCAGUGGCUGAUGCUGGUUUUCAGUGUUUAGAGGCCAACAGAAAAUUCUCAUAAUUCUUGCUGCUGAGUAGAGCAGCCGCCAUGCAUGGCUAUCAGUAGUCUACAUUUCAGUAUCCAAAGCGUCAUGAAUAUCUUGCAUUCUAAUUAUCCUUUCCUAGGUAGUCUCCUUUUCAUAACAGACUAAAGCAGAAUUUAUAUUCGCCUCUCUGUCACAAAUAAAGACCAUGUCUGGCUACAAGGGCAAAAUAGUUUGCUCUUGUGAACACUCUUUCUUUGGCCCGAGUAGCUGCCAGUCGCCAUGCAAUAAAUCACAUUAUCACAUGACAAGUCUAGAGCUUCAUCGAGAACAGCAGGGCACCCCACCAAGUCCUGAGAGCUAAGCAUUGGAGAAUUUGGACUGACCAUGGAUAACUUCAAAUUGAUUGCCUAGAACUGGAUGUUUUUUGCCCCUGGAAAGACAACAGAAAGAAUUCUAAACUGUUUAUUCUGUCAUGGGGACAGGAAUAUAAAACAGGUUAUGUUUUUUCAUUUGUCUUUAUUCCUUGUAUUCUCUCUCUCUCUCUCCCUCUCUUUCUCUCUUUCUCUCCUUUUUUCCCCUUAAAAACUCUGGCUUGAUGGCCCAUCAGUAUUGCCCAUGUGGCAUGAAACCCAUAAUCUUAUCCACUUCCUACUAAACCCAGGCCAGCAUAAAUAUUAUGGUUUGGAUCAAAAAUAUCCCACAAAGAUCUUGUGCCAAAAUGUUAUUUGCUAGAUAAUGAGCUUUAGGGAAAUUAGUAGAUCAGGAGGGGUCUGAUUUCAUCAAUAGAUUACUUCUUUUGUAGGGUAACAGUUUGCUGGGCUAAUAGAAACCAUGAGUGGUGGGUGGUAUCCAGUUGAGGGGACUGGAGCUUUCCAUGUGUGCCCUUGGGGGAUUAUAUCCUGUUAGCAGACCCUCUCUUUUGCCUCCUCUUGUUCUCUUUCUCCCUCCCUUUUGCCUGUCAAGGAUGCUCCCCUCUAUGACAUUCUGUCUCCCAGAACAAAUGGAGACAAAGUAACCAUUGCUUGAACCUUUGAGCCAGAAUAAUAUUUUAGUGACAUAAAACUGAAUGUGGUGGUUGGAGUGAGAAGUGCCCGCCACUGGCUCAGGUGUUUGCACACUUCAACCCCAGUUGGUGAUGCUGUCUGGGGUGGUUAUGGAAUUUUUAGAUGAAACCUUGCUGUAGGAGGCAAAUCCUUUGAGGGGUGGGCUUUGAAAGUUUAUGUCCGGGCUCCCCCUUCUCCUUUGCUCUGUUUCCUUUGUGUCAAUGAGAAGUGAGCUCUAAGCUCCCUGAUCUGACAUUCCUGCGGCCAUGCUAUCCACCCCAGCACAGGAUCUCCCUCCGGAACCAUCCUCUCAAAUAUACGCUUCCUUUUAUCAGUUACCUCUAACUGUGGUGUUUAUCGGAGUGACAGAAAAGUAACAAUACAUGUACUAAAACAAUGAAGCCAGUGGCUUUUUUUUGAGAUAAUUUGUCUUGACUCAAGUUUUAGUCGUUUGGGGAAUCAUGAAAGGAUUCAACCGGGAGGCCUUGCAUGUGUGUAUCCUUUGAAAAGGCCAGGAUUUGUGAGGCACUGCACCACAUAACAACUGAGUGGUGAGGACAAAGCCUGUUUCAGCUUUAUUCUCCUCUGGGACUUUUACACGAAGUAGAGACCUCGCAAACAUUUUAUGCUACGGGGCAUUUAGUGAUUUGCCAUUUUUAAGGAGUGCUAUCUUUAUACUGUGCUGACAUCAACAUUUGAAAAUAAAGCCUUCCCCCCUCCCUCCCUCUCUCUCCUCCACGUUUGGCUUAGCUUUUCCUACCAAAACACACUUCAAAAGAAUCCACUGAAAGAACAUUUAAAAAAAAUACAACAUUUCCAUCUGUUAUUUUAAUAAUACAUGCUUUGGGACUCUCUUUAUGAACCAUUUUCUUUUCUUUGCUCCCAUUUAGAUGAGUAAAUAUUUGACUCGAAAGCCCUGAGGGGUAGUCGGCCAAUCGGUUCACUGAAUUGUGAACAUUCUUAGCCCUAUAAUUUGGUCUGCAGUAAGCACCUCCCGCUGUGGAAUUGACUGCAGAGGGAUUAGAGCAAUAUAAUCCUCAAACUGUUCCAACGCAAGGUUACUCUGAAGUGGAGAGGAGGAAGUAGUUUUAAUUUUGAUAAAAUAAACUGGGUUUUUGUAGCUUUAUUAUUUCUUUCUCUUUCUCCUUUCAGCAGUUCAGAAAAGGUGUCUGCUAAUUUGAAAUCAUUCUCCUUGGUGUAAUUAUCAUUAAACCGUUUUUAUUUUCUUAUGGCUGUUGUUUUUAGAGGUGGUGAGACAUAAUUUUUUUUCCUGUCAUUCCAAAAUGAAAAGCCUGAGUUUUAUUCUACCUUUAUAGGCUAGAACCAAGUCAUAUAUGGACUAUUAUGAAAAAAAAUAUUCAAAGGAUUCUUUGCUCACGGUGGGAUAGAAAAUGGACAGCCCCUGACAUGCCACUUACAUGCAUUUGAAAUGCCAAGUCAUUUGCAAAAUUCUGUACUUCUGUGUUACUCUUCCCCCCAUCAGGCUUCCCUACCACAACUCUGUGUCAGUGAUCAUUGAAGCAACCACGUUUAAGAUUAUACUAUGAAUUUCACAGGAA